UCCUCAUACCCCUCCUACCUCUCUCUCUUCCUCUUUUUCUCUUCCUCCUCCCUCUUCUCUCCCUCCUCCUUCCUCCUCCUCUCCUGCCUCCUUCCUCUCUCUUUCUCCUUGCCGUUAUCUUUUGAGCCACAAAACGGCCAACUAACUGGCUUACAGCAGGGCAGCAUUGAAGGUUCCCCAUUCUGUGCAAACACCUUUGGAGCGAAUCCUGUGGCAGGGAAGAGAGAGCAAUUAGCUUCCUGAAGUCUCAGCCGGGUCUGUUAAUGAACGCUGCUGGCACUGUAAUUUACAGAUGGGAUUAUGACAUUCCCACCUCUACUCAGGUCCUGCUUCCUCAACUCUCAGAGGUGAGGAGAUGAUGAAUGAGUUAAUAUUUGUUCAAGGAUUUGCAGAAAAGCAGCGUCUUAAAAGCUGCCGCAAAUGGCGCUUCUACGCAGUUCCCUCUAAGUGAGAGCAAGAGAAGGAGACUGGAGCAGGACACCAGGCUGCUCUUUGCACUCUGCACACCGCUGGGACACAGAGGCCUCUUGCCUGCUCAUGGCAGUACUUGUUCAUGUGAUGUUUAUAGGACGUGGGAGGCGCAGUUAACAGCUUUCCUCACGGACUCCAUCCAGUAUCUUCUGGGAGCAUCUCCUUAGCCUCUGCCCUCAGAACCUGCCUCAGGCCCAGUGCUCAUGAACCUUCAUCAGAAUUUCCCAUCAAGUGAAAAAUUCUUUCGAAAGGUCCUUUAGGGCCCAGUCAGAUGACGGAGUAACUGCUUUGAGAAAGUAAUUUAACCCAGUGCAUUAACCAUGGCAAACUUCUCAGAGAAUCUUCUUCAAAGGUGAAGUUCCCAUAUCCUCCAAGUCAAAAAAGUGAGGUGACUGCAAAGGAAUGUGUUACAGCCUUGCAGGAAAUCCACAAAAAAAUUCCUUUCUCUUCUGAAGUUCAAAGGUGAAACAAAGAACGGGAGCAAGCCACUUUCAAAGUUCAGAACUGUGCUUUUACAAGCUGACUUCUAACAGUAGCUGUGUGGCCUCAGAUAUGCCACAAAUCCUGAGGGUCUCUGCAUAGCAAGCUCCAGGCCACCACAACCGUCUCUCAGCUACUCUGUCUCCUAGGGGCCUCUUUUAAGUCAGUUCAUGACAAAGUUAUAGGGAAAGGCCUUGAGAGCCAUUACAUAUAAGAGCCACAAUAAAAAAGAUUUUCAUCGUUCAUUAGGGGUUUCCUCUUUCCUUUCCAGGGAAGGUCCCCAAGAUGAGGCACCACAGGCUAGCUGUUCUGUGGGUCUUCCUCUGGUGGCACUAGCAUUCCCUUGGAAGUUCAAAACUGGGUGGGUCGUGAGGCUGCCUGGGCCCACUUGUGCCAGUCAGGGCUCGAAUUCUUCCUCAGACCAAACACAAAGCAAACUGAAGGGACACUGUGUGGUUCAUUUACUAUAGGAUGAGAAAACCCUGUAGAGUGACUGUGGACACAGGCCAGCUUUCCAGUCCAAGGCAGUAAGAGGUCAUGCUGGAGUCAGACACCAGGGUCCAGGAAUACAGGCUCAGGUUACCCAAAUAUCACGUUCCGAUGUGGCAAUGGUUGCAUGAUAUAUAUAUAUAAAAUUACAGAAUGGAAAAAGUUAGGAAUCAAGGUGCUUUUCAAACACUUUGGUGAAAAUAUCAGUAGGUGGAUAGGCAAGGCAGGGACUUCACUGCUAGAACUUUCAGAUGCUUCCUGAUGCUGUUUCCAGUCAGCCUCUCGGGUGGUGGAAGCUAGUGGUCUUCUCAGAUAGUCCAGGAUUUACCUAGUACUUACAGGAAUGUGAGCUCAAACAUAGAGGUGGCCAAGGAAUGGCCCAUUAGGGGAGCUAAAGAGAGCCUAGGAGAAUUUGACUCUGGAUCUGCAAGAUUCCAACUCUCCAUCCACAACCAUGGAAGUUCUAAUCAGUCAAUCAGCUUUGUGGAAUCUAUAGCACACAUGGGUCUGUCUCCACCCCUUUCUGGAAACUUCAUUUCACACAGAUCAGAGCUUGGAAUGGGGAUUUCAUCUAACACUUCUUUUAUUCCAUAAAGAAGGCUGGUCUUGGAGUUAAUGUUUGGAAUAUAUGAUUUCCCCAAUCCCCCCCCCCUUGUCUUGUAAUUCUCUUCUCUCUCUUCUCUUCCGUCUUUAAUCUCUGGGGACAGAUGUGUCCUUUCCUUGGUUUUCCAUAACUCCAGGCUUCAGAUUUGAGCUAGUUGGCUCUAACUAGCUUUUGCCGACUUCAAAAGUUGGCAGGUGACGAGAGACCUAGUGAGGUGAGGGGGUGAAGCCUUCUUCACCUUUCCUUUGGGCUUGCCUGACUUGGGGGAAUUCCAGGAGAAUGAGCCCAGCUCCUUGGAAGUGAGCACUUCCUUCCGCAUGAGGCCAUGCCCAGGUUCAUGGCAAGGGAGCAAGGUUUGCCCUUUCUCUUAGGCUGCUGCCAGUCUUAUUCUUCACUGCUUCCAUUACAAUGAUGCUGUUCAUGUCUGGAAAGGGUGUUUUCAGUCAUUGAGAUACUUCACGAUCCCCAACAGUGCCGCUUAGGGUAUUUGCACAUGUGAUGGUGUGGGAUCCAUCCUAUUACUGUCCAGUGACCAUUUAAUAUACUAGGUGAGACAUCUGGAAGGACGCAGAGAUGGAGGAUGGAGAAACUCGGCCCUUAUUCUUGAAGGGAAGCUUAGGAAUGGAGCCUUCCUGAAGAUGUGGAAUUUUAUCAGAAAGAGAUGGUGUGGUAGGUAGUGGGCAGGGUAAAGGUUCUUGCAAAAGCAGGAAGAGUUGGACACGGUGGUGUAUGCCUAUAGUCCAAGCAUUUAGCAAACAGAGAGAGGGUAUUGAAAAUUUGAGACCAGCCUGGCUACACAGUGAGUUUUAGGUUGGCUUGAAUAACAUAGUAUCAUGUCAC
rnacentral:lncRNA from 1 species